rnacentral:rRNA from 1 species
AUUGAACGCUGGCGGCAGGCCUAACACAUGCAAGUCGAGCGAGCGGCGGACGGGUGAGCAAUGUCUGGGAAACUGCCUGAUGGAGGGGGAUAACUACUGGAAACGGUAGCUAAUACCGCAUACAAUCAGAUGUGCCCAGAUGGGAUUAGCUAGUAGGAGGGGUAAUGGCUCACCUAGGCGUCGACCCCUAGCUGGUUUGAGAGGAUGACCAGCCACACUGGAACUGAGACGCGUUCCAGACUCCCUGUAGAGUCAGCAGCGGGGAAUAUUGCACAAAGGGCGCAAGCCUGAUCCAGCCAUGCCGCGUGUGUGAAGAAGGCCUUCGGGUUGUAAAGCACUUUCAGCGAGGAGGUUUUCGCGCAGAAAAGCACCGGCUAACUCCGUGCCAGCAGCCGCGGUAAUAC